rnacentral:rRNA from 1 species
UACGGAGGGGGCUAGCGUUGUUCGGAAUUACUGGGCGUAAAGCGCACGUAGGCGGCUCGUUAAGUCAGAGGUGGAAGCCCGGAGCUCAACUCCGGAAUUGCCUUUGAAACUGGCGAGCUUGAACAUCGGAGAGGCAAGUGGAAUUCCGAGUGUAGAGGUGAAAUUCGUAGAUAUUCGGAAGAACACCAGUGGCGAAGGCGACUUGCUGGACGAUUGUUGACGCUGAGGUGCGAAAGCGUGGGGAGCAAACAGG